rnacentral:rRNA from 1 species
GACGAACGCUGGCGGCGUGCUUAGCACAUGCAAGUCGAACGGAAAGGCCCUGCUUUUGUGGGGUGCUCGAGUGGCGAACGGGUGAGUAACACGUGAGUAACCUGCCCUUGACUUUGGGAUAACUUCAGGAAACUGGGGCAAUAACCGGAUAGAACUCCUGCUGCCAGGGGGGGGGUGGGAAGUUUCGGCGGUUGGGGAUGGGCUCGCGGCUUAUCAGCUUGUUGGUGGGGUAGUGGCUUACCAAGGCUUUGACGGGUAGCCGGCCUGAGAGGGUGACCGGCCACAUUGGGACUGAGAUACGGCCCAGACUCCUACGGGAGGCAGCAGUGGGGAAUAUUGCACAAUGGGCGGAAGCCUGAUGCAGCAACGCCGCGUGCGGGAUGACGGCCUUCGGGUUGUAAACCGCUUUCGCCUGUGACGAAGCGUGAGUGACGGUAAUGGGUAAAGAAGCACCGGCUAACUACGUG